GUCUAUGGCCAAAUCACCUUGAACACUCCUGGUCUCGUUUAAUCUCAGAAACUAAGCAGGGUUGGAACUAGGUCAUAGUUGGAUGGGAGAUAACCUGGGAACACAGGGUGCUGUAGGGU
rnacentral:rRNA from 1 species